rnacentral:rRNA from 1 species
AGAACGAACGCUGGCGGCAUGCCUAAUACAUGCAAGUCGAACGAGACCUUCGGGUCUAGUGGCGCACGGGUGCGUAACGCGUGGGAAUCUGCCCUUGGGUUCGGAAUAACAGCGAGAAAUUGCUGCUAAUACCGGAUGAUGACGUAAGUCCAAAGAUUUAUCGCCCAAGGAUGAGCCCGCGUAGGAUUAGCUUGUUGGUGAGGUAAGAGCUCACCAAGGCGACGAUCCUUAGCUGGUCUGAGAGGAUGAUCAGCCACACUGGGACUGAGACACGGCCCAGACUCCGUACGGGAGGCAGCAGGUAGGGGAAUAGUUAGGACAAGUGGGACGAAAGCCUGAUCCAGCAAUGCCGCGUGAGUGAGUGAAGGUCCGUUAGGGUUAGUAAAGUCUACGUUUUACCCGGAUAGGAUAAUGACAGGUACCGGAGAAUAACGCGUACCGGACUAACCGUCCGACGCCGAGCCGA